rnacentral:rRNA from 1 species
UGGGGAAUAUUGGACAAUGGGGGGAACCCUGAUCCAGCCAUGCCGCGUGUGUGAAGAAGGCCUUAUGGUUGUAAAGCACUUUAAGCGAGGAGGAGGGUACUGGUAUUAAUACUACCAGGUACUGGACGUUACUCGCAGAAUAAGCACCGGCUAACUCUGUGCCAGCAGCCGCGGUAAUACAGAGGGUGCGAGCGUUAAACGGAUUUACUGGGCGUAAAGCGUGCGUAGGCGGCUAAUUGAGUCGGAUGUGAAAUCCCCGAGCUUAACUUGGGAAUUGCAUUCGCUACUGGUUAGCUAGAGUGUGGGAGAGGAUGGUAGAAUUCCAGGUGUAGCGGUGAAAUGCGUAGAGAUCUGGAGGAAUACCGAUGGCGAAGGCAGCCAUCUGGCCUAACACUGACGCUGAGGUACGAAAGCAUGGGGAGCAAACAGG